rnacentral:rRNA from 1 species
GACAGAGGAUGCAAGCGUUAUCCGGAAUGAUUGGGCGUAAAGCGUCUGUAGGUGGCUUUUCAAGUCCGCCGUCAAAUCCCAGGGCUCAACCCUGGACAGGCGGUGGAAACUACCAAGCUGGAGUACGGUAGGGGCAGAGGGAAUUUCCGGUGGAGCGGUGAAAUGCGCAGAUAUCGGGAGGAACACCGGUGGCGAAGGCGGUUCUCUGGGCCUGUACUGACGCUGAGGAGCGAAAGCGUGGGGAGCGAACAGG